rnacentral:rRNA from 1 species
GAGCGGAUGACGGGAGCUUGCUCCCGAAUUCAGCGGCGGACGGGUGAGUAAUGCCUAGGAAUCUGCCUGGUAGUGGGGGACAACGUUUCGAAAGGAACGCUAAUACCGCAUACGUCCUACGGGAGAAAGUGGGGGAUCUUCGGACCUCACGCUAUCAGAUGAGCCUAGGUCGGAUUAGAUAGUUGGUGAGGUAAUGGCUCACCAAGGCGACGAUCCGUAACUGGUCUGAGAGGAUGAUCAGUCACACUGGAACUGAGACACGGUCCAGACUCCUACGGGAGGCAGCAGUGGGGAAUAUUGGACAAUGGGCGAAAGCCUGAUCCAGCCAUGCCGCGUGUGUGAAGAAGGUCUUCGGAUUGUAAAGCACUUUAAGUUGGGAGGAAGGGUUGUAGAUUAAUACUCUGCAAUUUUGACGUUACCGACAGAAUAAGCACCGGCUAACUCUGUG